UACGAAGGGUGCAAGCGUUGUUCGGAAUUAUUGGGCGUAAAGCGCACGUAGGCGGCCUUGUAAGUCUCACUGUGAAAGUCCGGGGCUCAACCCCGGGAUGCCAGGGGAUACUGCGAGGCUGGAGACAAGUAGAGGUUGGUAGAAUUCCGGGUGUAGCGGUGGAAUGCGUAGAGAUCCGGAGGAAUACCAGAGGCGAAGGCGGCCAACUGGGCUUGUUCUGACGCUGAGGUGCGAAAGCGUGGGGAGCGAACAGG
rnacentral:rRNA from 1 species